rnacentral:rRNA from 1 species
AUUGAACGCUGGCGGCAUGCUUUACACAUGCAAGUCGGACGGCAGCACAGAGAAGCUUGCUUCUUGGGUGGCGAGUGGCGAACGGGUGAGUAAUAUAUCGGAACGUACCGAGUAAUGGGGGAUAACUAAUCGAAAGAUUAGCUAAUACCGCAUAUUCUCUGAGGAGGAAAGCAGGGGACCUUCGGGCCUUGCGUUAUUCGAGCGGCCGAUAUCUGAUUAGCUAGUUGGUGGGGUAAAGGCCUACCAAGGCGACGAUCAGUAGCGGGUCUGAGAGGAUGAUCCGCCACACUGGGACUGAGACACGGCCCAGACUCCUACGGGAGGCAGCAGUGGGGAAUUUUGGACAAUGGGCGCAAGCCUGAUCCAGCCAUGCCGCGUGUCUGAAGAAGGCCUUCGGGUUGUAAAGGACUUUUGUCAGGGAAGAAAAGGCUGUUGCUAAUAUCGACAGCUGAUGACGGUACCUGAAGAAUAAGCACCGGCUAACUACGUGCCAGCAGCCGCGGUAAUACGUAGGGUGCGAGCGUUAAUCGGAAUUACUGGGCGUAAAGCGAGCGCAGACGGUUACUUAAGCAGGGUGUGAAAUCCCCGGGCUUAACCUGGGAACUGCGUUCUGAACUGGGUGACUAGAGUGUGUCAGAGGGAGGUAGAAUUCCACGUGUAGCAGUGAAAUGCGUAGAGAUGUGGAGGAAUACCGAUGGCGAAGGCAGCCUCCUGGGAUAACACUGACGUUCAUGCUCGAAAGCGUGGGUAGCAAACAGG